rnacentral:lncRNA from 1 species
UAAUGCAUUUUCAUUUAUUUUUUAUUGCAAGGUUUUAACAAUAAUGGCAAUUUGCUACUGUGGAUAUUUAUGUUAAAGACCUCAAGAUUAUAUUUAUUAAUUCAGUUAAACAACAUGAUGAAAACUACAUGGUUGCUUCAGUGGAUGUUGAUCUUUUUCAUAUCAAGAUUAAACCGAUAUCAUUGGAUGUGGUUUCCUUUGCGUACUAAAGAAUCGACUCUUUCUAUCUAUGGAUGUCACAGUUUUGUUUGCUUCAAAAUCUAGGCUUUUUUCAAAGCCACAAUUCUGUUAAAAACAUUACUGAGCAAAAAAGAAAUUUUUUUGUUAAAGAAGUGUGUUUUAAAAUAGUUUUAGUUUUUGCGGUUUGUUGGAAUUUAUAUAUAAUUAGAUAUAUGGGGCUAUGGAAGGGAAAAGGAAGGGGAGCAGUGGUGGACAUCCCCCCACCC